CUGAAUUGUCAACAUGAGUUGUUGCUGGUCUUCAAACGGGGACACGUGCACGCUCUGUUCACACAUCCACUCACACCUGUGCACCCUCUGUAGUUCUGUGGCUUGUGGGGCUCUGUCCCCUUGUCGCGGUUCUGCGUCUUUACACACACUCUGUAAUAAAGUCUUAUGGAAUGUACAUCGCGUCUAACGCAAUACAAUA
rnacentral:misc_RNA from 1 species